rnacentral:rRNA from 1 species
AUUGAACGCUGGCGGCAUGCUUUACACAUGCAAGUCGAACGGCAGCGCGGGCUUCGGCCUGGCGGCGAGUGGCGAACGGGUGAGUAAUACAUCGGAACGUGCCCAGUAGUGGGGGAUAGCUCGGCGAAAGCCGGAUUAAUACCGCAUACGACCUGAGGGUGAAAGCGGGGGAUCUUCGGACCUCGCGCUAUUGGAGCGGCCGAUGGCCGAUUAGCUAGUUGGUGGGGUAAAGGCCUACCAAGGCGACGAUCUGUAGCUGGUCUGAGAGGACGACCAGCCACACUGGGACUGAGACACGGCCCAGACUCCUACGGGAGGCAGCAGUGGGGAAUUUUGGACAGUGGGCGAAAGCCUGAUCCAGCAAUGCCGCGUGUGUGAUGAAGGCCUUCGGGUUGUAAAGCACUUUUGGCGGGAACGAAAAGGACUGUGCCAAUACCACGGUUCGAUGACGGUACCCGCAGAAUAAGCACCGGCUAACUACGUG